rnacentral:rRNA from 1 species
UACGAAGGGGGCUAGCGUUGCUCGGAAUCACUGGGCGUAAAGCGCACGUAGGCGGGUCGUUAAGUCGGGGGUGAAAUCCUGGAGCUCAACUCCAGAACUGCCUUCGAUACUGGCGAUCUUGAGUCUGGGAGAGGUGAGUGGAACUCCGAGUGUAGAGGUGAAAUUCGUAGAUAUUCGGAAGAACACCAGUGGCGAAGGCGGCUCACUGGACGCGUAUUGACGCUGAGGUGCGAAAGCGUGGGGAGCAAACAGG